rfam:Salmo salar isolate Sally breed double haploid chromosome ssa23, whole genome shotgun sequence.
UGCUGGCCUUUAUGUAAGUAAGUCGCUCUGGAUAAGAGCGUCUGCUAAAUGACGUAAA